rnacentral:lncRNA from 1 species
UUGAUUGUAGGAAGUGGAACAACUAAGAAUGGAACGCCUGCAGAUCGAUGAACAGCUGCGACAGAUUGGUAUGGGUUUCAGACCUUCUUCCACCAGAGGGCCUGAAAAAGAGAAAGGAUAUGCCACUGAUGAAAGUACCGUCUCUUCUGUACAAGGUUCUAGGUCUUAUAGUGGAAGAGGCAGAGGUCGUCGGGGCCCUAAUUACACCUCCGGUUAUGCUUUGGAGUUGUUCCAUCUUUCUCCAUUUGGACUUGGAUAUUAGCUGUGACCUGAUCUCCUGCCCAUCCCUCUUCAUUUGCCUUUUCUGUUCUUUUCCUCUCUCCUCCCUAUGUCAUCUUGUUUUGAGAAAAUACUUGCGAACCUAGACCAAAGUAGGAAGCAUUUACAGAAAGUAGAGGUGAAUUGAGGUUUGCACCAUGCAGGUUCAGAUCUAGACUUCUUUUUAACUAAGGAAUCUAAUGAUGUAGUACACCGGUACUCUUUCACCUGUUGUGCAGGUGGAAGGCUAAGUAUCCCUUCUCUUUAGUACUGCAACUUUAUGUUCAAGUAUUUCAUUUCCUUGAUGUAUUUUUGUUUUCAUAACGUGGUAUUGAAGUUUGCAAAUA